rnacentral:rRNA from 1 species
AUUGAACGCUGGCGGCAUGCCUUACACAUGCAAGUCGAACGGCAGCAUAGGAGCUUGCUCCUGAUGGCGAGUGGCGAACGGGUGAGUAAUAUAUCGGAACGUGCCCUAGAGUGGGGGAUAACUAGUCGAAAGACUAGCUAAUACCGCAUACGAUCUACGGAUGAAAGUGGGGGAUCGCAAGACCUCAUGCUCCUGGAGCGGCCGAUAUCUGAUUAGCUAGUUGGUGGGGUAAAAGCUCACCAAGGCGACGAUCAGUAGCUGGUCUGAGAGGACGACCAGCCACACUGGGACUGAGACACGGCCCAGACUCCUACGGGAGGCAGCAGUGGGGAAUUUUGGACAAUGGGGGCAACCCUGAUCCAGCAAUGCCGCGUGAGUGAAGAAGGCCUUCGGGUUGUAAAGCUCUUUUGUCAGGGAAGAAACGGUUCUGGAUAAUACCUGGGACUAAUGACGGUACCUGAAGAAUAAGCACCGGCUAACUACGUGCCAGCCGCCGCGGUAAAAC